rnacentral:rRNA from 1 species
UGAGGAAUCUUGCGCAAUGGGCGAAAGCCUGACGCAGCCACGCCGCGUGCCGGAUGAAGGCCCUAUGGGUUGUAAACGGCUUUUACUAGGGAAGAACGAGAGGGUUUCGAUCUUCUGUGACGGUACCUAGUGAAUAAGCACCGGCUAACUCCGUGCCAGCAGCCGCGGUAAUACGGAGGGUGCAAGCGUUGUCCGGAAUCAUUGGGUGUAAAGGGUACGUAGGCGGGAGCCUAAGUCUGGGGUGAAAUCUUGCCGCUUAACGGUAAAAUGGCCCUGGAUACUGGGUUUCUUGAGUGCAGAAGAGGCAGGUGGAAUUCGUGGUGUAGCGGUGAAAUGCUUAGAUAUCACGAAGAACAUCAGUGGCGAAGGCGGCCUGCUGGUCUGCAACUGACGCUGAGGUACGAAAGCGUGGGGAGCGAACAGG